GUAACACUGCUGCUGAUGCAGCCCAGGAUACAAUUGGCUUUCUGGGCUGCAAGCUCACAUUGCCAGCUCAUGCCCAGUUUUUCAUUCACUAGUAUCCC